CCUGAUGUCUCAGGUGAUAAAGAUUCUGCCUGCAAUGCAGGAGACCCAGGUUCCAUCCCUGGGUCAGGA
rnacentral:tRNA from 1 species